CCUAUGGCGAAGCCUCUGCCUCAUCCCUCACCGCCCCGGGAAUUGGACUGAGUUGUCGUCUUCCGAUUGGAAAAGGAGACGGGAGAGCCCUUCUAGGUCCCUGACCUGGGUGAAGCCAGAGCAGCCAUCCCUGGGCUGAGCCGAGGCCCCCGACCCGCCCAAGCAGGAGUGAGGGGCCGGUUGGAGCUCCCUCCUUCAUCACACACAGAGAGAGGUCCCCACUAGGUGCAGAACGUUUUCUAGGCACCGACCAUAAUCCCGUGCACAGAGCGGGCGGCAGCCGUGCCCUCCAGGGCUCCAUUCUCGUCGGGAGUCAGACAGCGCCGCUAGGCUUCUCAGGCAGGCCUGAUCCACCGUCCAGUCCGUGUGACGUCCUCCUGUGUCUUCCUGAUAGGGUUGCGUCCUUCCUUACUGCGAUGAGGACGGCGGACCCCUGGACCAACUGAAAAAGGCCAUCUCCUUCAUUCUGGGCACCUGGCUCCAACGGUACCCUGAGGAUUUUAUCCAGCCCCCAGAUGUUCCCAGCCUGGAAAUGCUCUUGGCCUACGUUGGUCUUAAUAUGCCUGUCUCGGAGCUGGAGCACCGUGCCCGCGUUCUUCUUUCCCAGCUGGAGCACCCUGAGCACACUGAUGCCGAGACUGAGGCUGAGGAGGACGUGGGCGUGUGCAGAGGGGAUGGCGCUGCGCCCCCCAGAGCAGAGUCUCCAGAGGCUGGGGUUCGGCUGGGAGCAAGGGGCGGGCUCAGAUCACUCUUCCCGCGGACUCCACUCUGGGAAGCCUUUCGGGG
rnacentral:lncRNA from 1 species